UCAGCUCGUGUCGUGAGAUGUUGGGUUAAGUCCGUAACGAGCGCAACCCUGUCCUAGUUACCAGCACGUUAUGGUGGGCACUCUAAGGAGACUGCCGGUGACAAACCGGAGGAAGGUGGGGAUGACGUCAAGUCAUCAUGGCCCUUACGGCCUGGGCUACACACGUGCUACAAUGGUCGGUACAAAGGGUUGCCAAGCCGCGAGGUGGAGCUAAUCCCAUAAAACCGAUCGUAGUCCGGAUCGCAGUCUGCAACUCGACUGCGUGAAGUCGGAAUCGCUAGUAAUCGUGAAUCAGAAUGUCACGGUGAAUACGUUCCCGGGCCUU
rnacentral:rRNA from 1 species